GAUGAACGCUGGCGGCGUGCCUAAUACAUGCAAGUCGAGCGAACGGACGAGAAGCUUGCUUCUCUGAUGUUAGCGGCGGACGGGUGAGUAACACGCGGAUAACCUACCUAUAAGACUGGGAUAACUUCGGGAAACCGUAGCUAAUACCGGAUAAUAUUUUGAACCGCAUGGUUCAAAAGUGAAAGACGGUCUUGCUGUCACUUAUAGAUGGAUCCGCGCUGCAUUAGCUAGUUGGUAAGGUAACGGCUUACCAAGGCAACGAUGCAUAGCCGACCUGAGAGGGUGAUCGGCCACACUGGAACUGAGACACGGUCCAGACUCCUACGGGAGGCAGCAGUAGGGAAUCUUCCGCAAUGGGCGAAAGCCUGACGGAGCAACGCCGCGCGAGUGAUGAAGGUCUUCGGAUCGUAAAACUCUGUUAUUAGGGAAGAACAUAUGUGUAAGUAACUGUGCACAUCUUGACGGUACCUAAUCAGAAAGCCACGGCUAACUACGUG
rnacentral:rRNA from 1 species